UGUCAUUGUUGGUCACUUCAAUCUUGUGAUUGUGUGCACCUGACCUCAUGUGUUUCACCUGGGUUCAGUUAUUCUGUCUGUGUCAGGUCGUCUCUUCACUUUGGUUCUGUUCAGUCCAGCUCCUGUGUCUCUGUUUUGAGUUUCAGCUCUUGGAUCACCUGAGUUCUCUAACCAGCCUUCUGAGUAUUUUGACCCGACAACUGAUGAACUUCCUUCUAUGAAACUGCAGUUCAUGCCUCCGCCACUGAGGGUGCAGAGAGGGACAUUGCACUUGCAAUCAUGGGGAUAUACACUAUCUGAAGAGAUGGAGAUGUGGAGCCAGAGGACGUGGGAAUCGUGAUUGAAGGCAUCAAAGUCAUGGACAACUUAGGAAGGGUGAUAAUGGGGUUCAUCAUGCUGUUUGGGCUCAUUAAUGCUUUGAUCUGAGCUUUCCAGACAACCUCAAGUACACUUUCCAGUUUAUUCAGAAAUGAAUUUGAAUGAGCACAAGCUCAAUGCAAAGAUACAGCAGCUGAAAAUAAAGUUGUUUGCAUGAGCGGGAAACACAGCCGACAAAGUUCUGCGACCUCAGUGACGUUUUCCUGCGUCCGACAUUUUUAAUGACUGGAUUUCCAUGAGCUGGGAGAAGUAUGUUCACAUAUGGAAAUUCUGUCCACAUAACUUCCCCUUUCCAUCUAUAUGACUUUGUCUCUGCUCUACACCACUUUUGUACUGCUGCUUUUAUUUCCUGAUCAAUUUGUUUCUUGAUAUUUGUUGUAUGUAAAACAACCUACAUUUCCCAUAAUGCAACAUUUGUUGGUUGGUUUUUACUAUGCCAGUUUCUGAGCAUUUUAAAAUGCCUCAUGUCUCAUGCUAAACGGGGGAUCAGAUGAAAAGCAAUAUUGCCUUAUUAAUUUCCAAUUAUAUAAUUUUGUGUUGGACUAACUAAAAUCAAUUUCACAUCAUCUAUGUAGAUAUUUUACUUUAGCUGCCUUUAAAAAAGAUAAGUUGGUGUUAUGUAAAUCAACCUAACUAAUCAACUAAUGUAAUAAUGUUAUUUUAGCUUUAUGUGAGAGAAAUUAGUUGGACCAAUGAGAAGAAAUUAUAUUGCAAGGAUUUUAUUAAAUUGAGUUGGAGCUACAUGUAUUUAUUGAAUGGAAAACCUGCCAGCAAUUGAAUUGAGUUCACCCAAUGAGUUAUAAUUUCAUUGA